rnacentral:rRNA from 1 species
GGGAAUCUUCCGCAAUGGACGGAAGUCUGACGGAGCAACGCCGCGUGAAUGAUGAAGGCCUUCGGAUCGUAAAGCUCUGUUGUUAGGGAAGAACAAGUACCGUUCGAAUAGGGUGGUACCUUGACGGUACCUAACCAGAAAGCCACGGCUAACUACGUGCCAGCAGCCGCGGUAAUACGUAGGUGGCAAGCGUUGUCCGGAAUUAUUGGG